rnacentral:rRNA from 1 species
UACGUAGGGUCCGAGCGUUGUCCGGAAUUAUUGGGCGUAAAGGGCUCGUAGGCGGUUCGUCGCGUCGGGAGUGAAAACUCGGAGCUUAACUCCGAGCCUGCUUCCGAUACGGGCAGACUAGAGGUAGGCAGGGGAGAGCGGAACUCCUGGUGUAGCGGUGGAAUGCGCAGAUAUCAGGAAGAACACCGGUGGCGAAGGCGGCUCUCUGGGCCUUACCUGACGCUGAGGCGCGAAAGCUAGGGGAGCGAACAGG